UGUGAGCUGUUUUUCCCUAGACUAACACUGGGAAGUGACAAUCUGCCCUGUCACCCCAGUGAGCAAGCAGAGAGGACAGGGGAAGACACAUGAAUGAUUUGCAGGUGGACGGUGCCGGCAGAGCAGCCAACUCGAAGCAGAGAUGAAGUGCAGCUGCGGGUGCUGGUGUGAGCCCCAGUGAGAGCUGGAACUGACGGUGUGUGACCAACUGCAGCAGCCAGGGAACAAUGGCUCCGAGGAGAGAGAGUCACAACGUCCAGCGGUGAGUGUCCUUUGGUUUCCUCAGGGAACACGGGAGGCCAAGGACACUUAGCUUUGCCAGAUUCCUGGAACUCCAGCCCAGCCGGCCAUCCGAGUCCUCCGUCCGCUCACCGAGCUAUGCUGGCAACUAACCUGUCACGGUGGAACUGAGCCCGAGGGCGGUGCCACAAAGUGAAACUGGCUUCUGGAUCUGCCGGGUGAGAGUGAAAGUAAAGGUCACUUUUUGGUCCCCUGAGACCAAGACGCGACGGCAGCUCAUCCCUCAGCCCCGCAUCCUUCCUUCCGAGCCCCGGAUCACGCAGACCUUACAGAGUCUUCAUACGGAGUGGUGAACACCACCAGUUUCUCAUCUUUGUUCAUGAGCUGUCCGCACGGAAUCUAAAAGAAAAAAAAAUGAAGGACGUGAGGCUCAGACGUGUCUCAAAUGAAGUUUACUAUCCCAGCCAGAUGCGAGAAGACAGACCACAAGCUUACCUUCUGCCGGGUCCUAAUCAAAGUGACAAAGGAGACAAUUGGACAAAAGAUACUCUGCAAUCAAAGGGCUUCUCUUUCAAGUGGAAGCAAAUAAAUAAAAUAAAGCCCACCCUGAGGACACAGGCCUUGUCAAUAUCAUUGCCUCAUUUCUUUCAGAGGAAAUAAACAACAGAAGGCCAGGAUUGAGAAAACAUUUGGAGUCUCGCUUUGUUGCCUGGGCUAGAGUUCCG